rnacentral:rRNA from 1 species
GACGAACGCUGGCGGCGUGCUUAACACAUGCCAGUCGAACGGAAAGGCCCUGCUUUUGUGGGGUGCUCGAGUGGCGAACGGGUGAGUAACACGUGAGUAACCUGCCCUUGACUUUGGGAUAACUUCAGGAAACUGGGGCUAAUACCGGAUAGGAGCUCCUGCUGCAUGGUGGGGGUUGGAAAGUUUCGGCGGUUGGGGAUGGACUCGCGGCUUAUCAGCUUGUUGGUGGGGUAGUGGCUUACCAAGGCUUUGACGGGUAGCCGGCCUGAGAGGGUGACCGGCCACAUUGGGACUGAGACACGGCCCAGACUCCUACGGGAGGCAGCAGUGGGGAAUAUUGCACAAUGGGCGCAAGCCUGAUGCAGCGACGCCGCGUGAGGGAUGACGGCCUUCGGGUUGUAAACCGCUUUCGGCAGGGACGAAGCGAGAGUGACGGUAAUGGGUAAAGAAGCACCGGCUAACUACGUG